AGCGAACGCUGGCGGCAGGCCUAACACAUGCAAGUCGAACGAACUCUUCGGAGUUAGUGGCGGACGGGGGAGUAACACGUGGGAACGUGCCUUUUUGUUCGGAAUAACUCAGGGAAACUUGUGCUAAUACCGAAUGUGCCCUUCGGGGGAAAGAUUUAUCGCCAUUAGAGCGGCCCGCGUCUGAUUCGCUAGUUGUUGAGGUAACGGCUCACCAAGGCGACGAUCAGUAGCUGGUCUGAGAGGAUGACCAGCCACACUGGGACUGAGACACGGCCCAGACUCCUACGGGAGGCAGCAGUGGGGAAUCGUGCGCAAUGGGCGAAAGCCUGACGCAGCCAUGCCGCGUGAAUGAUGAAGGUCUUAGGAUUGUAAAAUUCUUUCAACGGGGACGAUAAUGACGGUACCCGGAGAAGAAGCCCCGGCUAACUUCGUG
rnacentral:rRNA from 1 species